UAAAAUGUAUUCACUCCAUAAAUGUUCCUAAAUAAAAAAAUAAAUUUAAUAAUUUAAGUGUAGAAUGUGAGCGCAUAUGUCAAUGCGCUCAAAAUUCGUACAAUCUGACAGUUUUUGAACUCUUUCCCAUAGUUAGUCUUCUCAUCCCAUUCUUCUCACAGCAAGAAAACAAACAAGAAUUAGACAAUCAAAAAGCAAAUCCAAAGUCACAAAAAUCCAAAUCCUUUCACUUAAACACCGUGAAAUAAGAUCAAUAAUUGAUAAAAAAAUCAAACCUUUUGAAUUUGAAUUCUUUGUUCAGAACCAAACCCGGAAAAUGACUUUUCCAAGAUUCUUCAUUUUCCUUCUUUUGAUUGCAUUUGCACCUAUUUUGAUAAAACCCCAUUGUGGAAAUGCAAAAUUGAGAGCAUUAAUGGACAUAAAAUCAUCUUUGACCCAGAAAAUAAUUACUUGUCAUCAUGGGUCAGUGAUGGGGAUCCACGCAGUGGAAAAUUUGAAGGUGUGGCAUGUAAUAAGCACAGGAAAUGGCUAAUAUUUCACUGCAAAGUAAAGGGCUCACCGGAAAAGUGUUGUCGGAGGUGUCGGAGCUCAAGUGUUUGUCCGGUGACUAUUUCGCACGAGAUUUGUCCACUGACCAUUUCGCACGAGAGAGAGAAAGUAAAAUUAGGUUGAAGAGAAACAGUAGAGGCCCCAUCGUUGCUUUUGUCCCAAGUUCGACAAGUCGGUAACACCAAAUCGAACAACAAAGGGAGUCGGCUGCUGGUAGGGUUUCUUAAGCAAUAGAAUGAAAAAUGAGGAAGAUAGUGUAAAGCCAAUUAGCAACAGGUUUAAUGUGAACACUUCGCCACAGUAAUGAACUCGUUCUCUCUUUUAAAGUGUAGGUAGAUUUUUUUCACACGCUAUUCAUCAAGCUUGUUUUUCUACAGUGGACAUUUUAUCUCCUAAAUGAAAGACGCUUUCCUCUCUCGACAACAAAACAAAACCCUACCUUUCAAAACUCCCUCCUCCCCGUUGCGAUAAACGAAGAAUAAAUUACUAUGGUAUGUCUCCGAUGAUGUCGCCUGUCGGAGCGGAGAUAGUGGGCACACUGGAGCCUACGGUUAUGCUCAGUCUUAAAGAUGCCACCAGUUGGGACGCACCAGUUUUUAUUUCCAAACUCCUCCCAAAUUCUCGAAUAUCAACUGUCUGUUAAGGAAGCAGGAUUUGAGUUUCCUCCACUUGGUGAAUAUGUAGUGGGCAUGUUUUCUUGCCCACUUCCGAUAGUCGAAGGGAACAAAGAAAAAUCGUAUUCGCAAAGGUAGUACCAAGAUCAAAUCUUCUUCUCGCUGAAUAGGAUUUUGUUUUAUAAUUAUGUGUAAUAUGUUAUUCUUUGGUGUUAAAUACUUUACAAGUCGUGGAAUCGCUUAGGCACACCAUCUCGACUGGCAACUUGUCCCCACUGAUAACUUAGGUUUGGGCAAGUAUGCUUUACAGACAGAGCCAAUAAUUGAGCAAGUGUUUCUUACACCUACUCCCAGGUCAAAGGUACAUUUUGACCAAUAGGAUUAAGGAAGGUUUCUAUGGUGGCUAUCCGAGCUGCAUUCAACCUGCAACAUGGUUAGUUGACGCCUAAUGAGUUGAAGGAAUACUACCACCCUGAUCUUGGAAAUGAAAGGUUAACAAGCUACAUGGUCCUGCAAUGCUAGGUUGAGGAGUGACUUCUGAGGCAUUGAAGUAUGAAUGGUAUUUUAAGUUCUUCAACACCCUUGAUGUUAUUUCACUUUGCUUGCUGGAUUGGACUCUUUGGGUGAUUUGAUACUGUUGUUUUAAUGGCUGCUAGAGCCUUUCAGUCGAAAAACCAAGAUGCCUGCAAUCAUGGGGUUGUUGGCUGAUCCUAAGAAGUGGUGGGAGAAAGAGACUGUCCUGGAUUCAAUUCCAGUAUCACCAGCUGGGAAGUCUAAGAAGAUCAGCAUUGAGAGAAGACAUACUUGUAACGGUUCUUGAAGGAUGCAACCUUGAAGUUUCAUUUGGUAACUUCUUAUACUAUUUGAGGUUGGCUAAAUAAUGGAUCAUAUUAUACAUGUAAUUGGUUUUAUUGUUUUUAUUCAAAGUUGUAAAGGGAGCCGUGCGCUUGUUGUCAUUUUAUAUGUUGGAUAAAUUAUCAUUUCCGUGCCAUUUGAUUAGUUGCUACUUUAUCUUUCUGCAAUUUAUAAAUACUGGGCAACAAAUAUGUCCACAAUUUUGUUUAGGCAUUCUAUUAAUUUUUGAAUGCUUUUUUAUUUUUUAUUUUUAUCCAACUUGCAAUGAGAACACAAAGAAUGUGAUGAUUGCAGCAUCUUAUGUACACCUGAAGCACAAGGUUCGAGAUAAUAAUGCUUUCGAGCUUUCAAAUCUGAACCCCCAAAAUCUUGCUUUCUGGUUGAGCAAUUCUGUUUUUGUUUAGAUAUUUGUUUUCUCAAUAUCAUUGAGUCUGCUAAAUGCUUUAUUGCUGCCAUAGUUUGAACCUUGUAACAUGUUUAAUUUUCCUUUUUAGGAUUUGAUAUAUAUUAGGAGAUGCUAACAAAGGCACUUGCUCAUUAUUUUGGGACUAAAUUGCUUUUAUUUGACAGCCAUUCAUUUGUAUGAGACCACGUGAACUUUUAAGACACUGUUAAAAUAUGUUUUGAGCUCUGUUUAUUUAGUAUGGUGAAGCAGAUAUCCUGGAUUCUUCAAAUUUUCCCCUUCGCUCAGAAUUGCAGAUAAAAAUGAAUGGCUAAGAAACCCUCAAUUAAAUAUGGCAAGUUUCUUUGUGCUUUAUUUUAUAGAGGAAUUUAUUUUGCUCACAAUGACUAUUAAAAGAAUUAACAAUGGUUCUUUUACUUUUUCUUUGUCUCCACGUAUUUCUAUGUGUUGAUAAAUAUUUAGGUGAUAAGAGUAAAAUUCAUUGGUCCAGCUUCUGAAGUUUUGCAUUUAACAUCUGCCAGGUCUAUUGUAAUAACACACUUCUCUUUCUUUUUAAGUCUUUUUAAUACAAACUUUUGUUGGUAAUUGAUGUAGGACUCAGGUUUUAGUUUAGUAAACAUUCAAUUCUUUGACGUUCCUUUUUCUUCAUGCAAGUUUUAGGGUGGUGGUUUUAGUAGUAGAUGUUUUCCUGCAGUAGUUUAUAUUAAUUUCAAAUUGCUUUAGUAUCAUGCCAUUAAUAUGUAUCUAGAUGUGUUUUUCCUUGUUUUAAACUGAGGUUUCAAUUUCUUGUUAUGGCGAAAGCAUGGAAAGUGCCCUGCGAGAAUGUUUUAAAUUUAUACAGAUCACCAAAAUUCUAAUUCAUAGAGAAGGUGAUAGAUAAUGGUGAGCUUGUUAGCAAGAAAUCACUACCUUUUCCCUAUAUAAUCCUGUUCUUUUUUCUAAUUUCCCCCCUCCCUUUGUCAUUAAAAUGCCUCUUUUACAGUUGAUCUACAAAAAAUUGCCAAACGACAUCUCAAAUUGACAUGCAUUUUAAUUAGAUCCCAUCUCGGGCACAAGUUAGCGACACGUAUCUUGGAAAAAGUCUGUUUUAUGAAGUGUUACUUGAGCUGGUAAAAAAUUAUGCUGUGAAAGACUUGAUUACUUACUAGAAAAAUACAUGUUAGCUGGCGUUUUUGCUAACCGUUUCAUAUUUCACGUUCUGAUCAUAACUCCAACUUCAAGGAAUUAUGUCGUCGAAGCCAUUUCUUUACUUAAAAAGAAGGGAGUACCUGAGUAGAAUAUCGUACUCCCUGAGCUCUUUGCAGCUUUUGUUUUCUUCUGUAAAAUGUGCUCAUUUCAACCAUUAAAUUACUUCUUCGAUGUUAAUAAUCAUAUUAUUUCACAAUUCUUAGUAUGUUUGUGAAUUAAACUUGCUGAAAAUUGGCUCAUGAAUUGAUUUUCCUACAUACAGCGUUAAUGCAACUGUAUAGUGCUUGCUAAAAUAGGUUUCUGAUUCAAUAACCAAUAUGUUUCCUUUAAUGCAUUUAGUUGUUGAAAGUAAGGUAAAUUUGGCUUAUUUGUUUUGCUGUGAGUUUGAUAUAUAAUAUAUUCCAAGCAAAGCUUUCAUCACUAAACCCAAUAAUAUACUUAUUAUGUUUUGCUGCCAAUGUUAAUAAUGAAGCAUGUUUGGAUCUUACUAAUUUUAGUUAUAAGUGAGGACAGAGAAACAUUCUUUUUCCUCUCCUUAUUUAUUAAUAAAAUAAGCUUAUAAGCCUUCCCAAACAUGCUCCAUUCUAAUGAUAGAUUGGUCGUUGGUUUUCUUGUUCUUCUAUUAUAGUCUAACUUAUUUCUUUUUGCUUUUAUGUGGAGAAAAGGAUAGAUAUAGAAUAGGUCUCAGCUGGACAGACUUGUGUGUUUUCACACCAUUUAUCAAGCAAUCAUAUUUGGAGCUUUUUAGUUGUACCUACAUUUUGACUCAACCCUAAUUUCUUCAACUUCAUGGCGUGUGCUGAAAUUACUGUGUCAAUUCAACCCUUUCAUGAGGCUGAGUUGACAGAAUCAGGGUUCCCUUCCACCAGCAAAAAAGAUUUACAACUAAUUUUACCCUAAAAGCAAGGAAGAUAAUGUAGGAUCGUAUAUUGCCUUUUCCUUUCUCACUAUGAAGAUUGCCUAGCACAGUAUGAGCAUUGAGAAGAUACCUUCAAUAGACAAAUUGUGCACAAAAUGAACGAAGGAAGACAAUAUAGUAGAUAGUCUUUUCCUUUCUCACUGUGAAGAUUGCCUAGCACACUAUGAGCAUUGAAUAGAUGAACUGUGCACAAAAUGAACAAAAAUAUAUAAAAAUUGAGGAAGAGCUUUUUAAUUUGAGGAAUACAUGACAUUUAUAACUUAUAAAGUAGGACCUUUUCUAUCAAAUUUAGAGAAGACCUUUUGUAUUUCAUCUUUAUAGAAGGCCUUUUAAAAAUCCCUUGUUAGUUAUUCUGAGUCUUGAUAUCAGCAGCAGUUUCAUUAUUUAACAUACUUUUUCUAUACUUUACAUGGAGAGUGGUCGUGUUAUCUAAGAAUUUUUCCUAAAUUAUGUAUUUGCAUGAACUGGCAGGAAAUGAUGAAAAUGGUUUCCACAAUAGUGUGACAGAGAAGUAGGUUUGUCACAAUGCACCUUUUUGACUUUUCCACUGCUGUUUGUUCCCUUUAUUUUCGUAACGCUAUUUUCAGUCUUUAUAGCAAAUUUUGGAACUGGUGCUAAUGCUGGUAAUGUAGUUUGUUAUAAUUACCUAAAUCAUUGCCAAUAUUCAAAUCCUCUAGCAAAAUAUACAGGAACUCUAAAAAUGAAAGUAAACAGUGUGCUUCUAUCUGUUGAAAAAUUUGAAUUGAACUCCUACUAGGAAUGCGGUGACUUAUGAAGAAUAUGAACGACCUGUGCUUAUUGUGUAAUGGCCACAUUAAGGUAUUGGUAAUAGAGGAUUCACUCCAAAAUAUUUCAAAAUAGUAAUGGGGAUAAGAUAUUUUGAGCUGAGUUUGUUGAUUAUUUUUCUUUAUUAGAAGAGCUUGACUUACACAGUGGUCUUGUUACGUUUAGCUGCUAUGUGUCUUUCUUCCAUAAGGCAGUUAUGGAUACUGUAGCUAGAGUCAAGAUGAAGAAUGAUGAAAAUGGGUUGUAAAUCCUUUAAGCUUCAUCACAUUUUCAAUCUAGAUAAUGACAAUGGAGCUGAAAAACUCCUACAUUAUAGAUAGAAAUUAAGUCCAUUCCAGUUUAGCAAUAGCAAACAUUGAAUUGAAAAUAUUAUAAAUUCAACGGCGGAGAGUGCCAUCCCGGUGAUGCGGAGGAUGAACUAACGGAGAGGAAUACUUGCAUAUUAGAAUUGUUCAAAAGCCUAGCCUCCGAUAUUCAGUGCGCUGGCUUCAAGUCCAGACCUCCUCUGAUCUUGUAAGCCUGUGUACAAUAUGUGUAUCUUAUGUAAUUUCCUUGUGGAUCAAUAUGCGUUUAUUUGGUCUGGCUAGCAUUCUGGUUUUUGCAAACUUAAUUCUUAGUUGGCAUGCUGGAAUAGAGGUUUUGGAGCCUUCAGGCCUCUGUUGUACCAAUAAAGCAAAAUGGAAGGAAAUGGAGAAAUUUUUAAAAAAUAUAUCUUUCAAAUUUCUGCUAUGCCCAAUAUAUUUGGAAGAUUCUGUAAAUAUGGGAUUAAUGAAAGGGAGGAAAGGAAUGCUUAGAAGCAGUAUUCUUUGUUUAAUUACAAUUGUAGAAGGGAAAGACUAAAAAAAUCAGAUAUUCCAAUUUUUAAAAUUGUUUAUUAGCUUAAAGCCAGCAGUUUUAGUCUUCCCGGUCUCAUCCUCAAAACAGUGAAAAUCUGAGAUGAUUUUAUCCUCUACUUCCUUCUCUUGUUUUUGUUAUGUAAAACUACCAAUUAAGUGGGGAUUGCCUUAUCUAUCGUCUUUUAGUUGAAUUCUUCAAUGUGUGUAUUUUUACUUUUCAAACGGAAAUUGAUUCAAGUUUCAUUUAGGGCUCCAUUUUUCUAUUUUUCUUACAUAUCUUGUGACUAUCAUGGAAAACCUUGUUAAUCUAUGCCAUCUUUUGGAGGUAUGGUGGGAACUUAUGUUAUUGCAAAUCUUGGUGAUUCCCGAGCUGUUUUGGGAACAAAGACUGAGAAUGGAAUAAAGGCUGUUCAGUUAACUACUGAUUUCAAACCAGAAGUGCCUGUCACAGGGCUGGUCCUGAGGCCAGGCAGGUGAGGCCUCCGCCUCAGGCCCAAAAUCCAGGGGGCCUCGGCCUCCUUUUUUUGAACAACGGCAGCCUAAAACUUCUCAAGCCCAUAAUCCAUUAUCUACACUCCAAAUCCCUAAUUCAAAUCCUCGCCGUCUCUCUGGCACUUUUUCUCCUUCGAGUUCCAGAAUCCCAGAUUUCCUCUUCGCGGCUUGGCUAGUUGGCUUCGGUCAGUUCGCUGGAGCCUGGAGUCCCACUGGCCACUGUCUCAGACGCCCAGUGAGUUCAAACACCGAGCGGUCUCCUUCCCCCAACGCCCACAGGCCACAGCGUGAUUUUUCAAACACUCUUUGUACCUGGGCUUCAUCUGAGAUCUGACGUAUCGCUUCUGAUUUCUGUCGAGUGGCUGGGCAUUUUUGCUAGGGAAUGAUGGCUCGAAGAUUUCUUCGCAAGAUUGCUCGUACUACCGAGUACUUCUUUCCUAAGACCAAAGACACAAAAGCUAACGUUCUUGGUGACGAACCUCCUACAUUCCCCAUUGAGAGUGCUACCGAGUCGUUGAACUUUCCUGACACACAAGCUAGCGUUCUUGGUGACGAACCUCCUACAUUCCCCAUUGAGAGUGCUACCGAGUCGUUGAACUUUCCUGACACACAAGCUAGCGUUCUUGGUGACGAGCCUCCUACAUUCGACUUGUUCGAUCUCUUGGGCGAGCGCAAUAAAGAAAAAAGCUGCUGAUGGGUGCAUAAUGUUGUACAAUUCAGCAUGUGUACUUUAAAAAAACUGUUCUUGAGUUUGCGAAGUGAAUAACAGGUAUUCUUUGCCUUAUAUAUAGUCUCAAAAACUUAAAUUUAGACCGACAAAUGAUAUUUUGUCGAGGUUAAUAUGAGUUGACUAUAUAAUUUAUUGUA